AUUUUUGAGAUCAGUGAGGAUGACCACCCAUCGUUGGUCACCCACGCCCGCGAUAAUUGAUGAACUUUAGACUUCCCUAAUGCUUUCGUUUCCCCGGGUGUAAAUAGCCGGGGGGAAUUAGUACCCUCGCACGGCGCUUCGCGCCGUCGGCUCGGGGAUAAAGUUUUAAAUUUAUCUCGGGUAUAAUUAAUUUAGCUUAUAAAGAACUUGGUACGUAACAUUUUGGCGACCCCGCCAGGACUACAAAGAUGAACACUCGGUCUACGAGGAGAGAUUUUUCAGACGAUGAAGAACCCGACCUGAAUGAGCGUAAACAAACCGGCAGCAUUUUAGACGAGUUGAUUGAGCAGCGACUGCGAGCAGUUAUCGAGCAAAACGACGUACAUAUGUAACAGGCAGAGAGAUUCAAUCAAAUCAUAAGUCAGUAUGAGGAAAGAAUCGGG